UACGUAGGGGGCAAGCGUUGUCCGGAAUUAUUGGGCGUAAAGGGCUCGUAGGUGGUCUGUCGCGUCGGGAGUGAAAACUCAGGGCUUAACCCUGAGCCUGCUUCCGAUACGGGCAGACUAGAGGUAUGCAGGGGAGAACGGAAUUCCUGGUGUAGCGGUGAAAUGCGCAGAUAUCAGGAGGAACACCGGUGGCGAAGGCGGUUCUCUGGGCAUUACCUGACGCUGAGGAGCGAAAGUGUGGGGAGCGAACAGG
rnacentral:rRNA from 1 species